rnacentral:tRNA from 18 species
GGGGCCGUAGCUCAGUUGGGAGAGCGCAGCAAUCGCACUGCUGAGGUCAGGGGUUCGAUUCCCCUCGGCUCCACCA